GCCGGCUCCGUAGCGCUUGCAUUCCUCGUUUUCCUAGUCUGGCUGAGGCGCAUUUGGGACGAGGUGGAGGUGUGGGGGGAGGCUGUGGUACCGAGAAAGCGGAAAAGAAAGGAGGAAGUGAAAGGAGACGAAGAAAAUUAGAAGGGAGAAGAAAGCAAGGGGUCAGAGAGAAGUGUGUUGUCCUGGUUUUUUCGGCAGAAAAGAUAUUACAGGCCCUGACGUAGUGAACCACGCGCGUCCUAGUCAUAUCUGAAUAAUAAGUGGUUACAGGAAAAGGAGGUAGGGAGGAGACUUACAGUCCUCGUAUCUGGGGAUGCAGUGAGUGAAGUUCGACGGGUGUGGCUCUGGCAAACCCGCACAUAGCCUGGAGGAGGAACAGGGCCACACACGAGAUAACUCAAGAGGCAAAAAUUAGUCACACUGCCAAACUGAAAGUUGGAAAUCAAGAUUAUCCAAAACAGUUUGUAAUCUGGGUUUCAUCUUUGAUACUAUCUUAUUAAUAUCUUCGAAAAUUUAACUUUUAGUACACAAUCCAUUGUUUCAGAGGUGUGGUAUACAGACAUUGUAAAACUUUUGACCAUUUGAAAAGCCAGAUUUACCAAACUUUUAACAACUGUGCUGAAGACGUAGAGCUCUUGGCAUCUAAACGUCUGCACUAAGAGACUUGACCAAACUCUUGUCAGCGAACAUUCAAUUAACUACUAAGUUAAGAAGAAAAAAAGGAAUUUUAUUGGAGCCAAACUGAAGAUUUUAACCUGGGAAGCAGAUUCUCAGAAAGCUUCGUUAGAAGACGAAGGCUCAGUCAUACGUAUUUGAGUCAAAGGAUCAUACAGCAAAAUGACAUACUGAAAUUUCACAUGAAGUUCACCAGAGAUACAUAGUCCAGCUUCUCAGCCCGGGUUCCCUAUCUCUGGUGAUAAGAGUGGCCUUCUACCUCAAGAUAUGGCAAGUACAACUUUCAUAUGAGAGAUUUAUUUCCUGCUUUCAUGGAGACAAAAAGAAGGGAAUGCUCGGCUUCUUGGUGGAAGCACAGAAAAGAAGAAAAUGUCUUAACAAGGGGUUAAAUCUUCAUCAGGGUUACAAGUCAAGGACAAAUAACCCUGCACAUUCUUCUAUUUAGUCCCUCAUCUCUGCACAGGGCAGCAGCCAGACACCUGAGGGACCUUGGAGUUGAGGGGGCUUGGAGUAGGAACCUGCCAGCUGCCUGUGGACCCCACACCAGUGGGCUUGGAAGACAGAGCAUCCAGCCAAAGACUAUUCUUGAACCUUAGGGCUUAAUGUUUUAAUGUUUGAUUCAUUAGGUUUUGGACUUACCUGGGACCUGUUCUUUCUUCUUUUCUAUUUCUCCCUUUUGGAAUGGGAAUGUCUAUCCUAUGCUUGUCCCACCAUUGUAUUCUAGAAGUUCAUAGCAUAUUAGCUUCACAGGCUCACAGCUGGAGAGCAAUUUUCCUCAGGCUGAAUCAUACCUUGAGUCUCACCCAUAUCUGAUUUAGAUGAUAUAUAAAUGAGUCUUUGGAUUUUAGACUUUAGAGUUCAUGCUGAAAUGAGUUAAGACUUUUAGGGCUCUUGGGAUGUGAUGAAGGUGUUUUGCAUGUGAGAAGGACAUGAAUUUUCAAGGGCCAGAAGUGGAAUGCUAUAGGCUGAAUAUGUCUUCUGAAAAUUCAUAUGUUGAAAUCCUAACCCUCAAGGUGAUGGUAUAUAGAGAGGAGGUGAUUAAGUCCUGAGAGGGGAGCCCUCAUGAAUGGCAUCCUUGUAAAAGAGGUCCUAGAGCGCUCCCUUACCCCUUCUGCCAUGUGAGGAUACAAAAGAACAAGGCCAUUUAUAAUCCAGCAAGCAAGACCUCUUCCAACACAGAGUCUGCUGAUGUCUUGGUCUUAGACUUACCAGCCUCCAGAAUUGUGAAAAAUAAAUUUCUAUUGUUUAUAAGCUACCCAGUCUAUGGUAUUCUAGUAUAGCAACCUAAAAGGGCUAGCACACUCACAGAAAGCUAGAAAAUGAAGUUAUGGGCUUAGGUAAAAUGUCUAGAGAAGACAGUGCUUGACACAUUCUUCAGACUUCAUAUUCAAUAUCACAUCCUCUGGGCACCCUAAAUAAAGGAGGUAUCCCUCCCAUAUUUCUAUUAUUCUCUGUCAAAGCACCCCUUUGAUGCUUUCAUAGAAUUUUUAUAAGUUUAUAAUUAUAUAUUCAUAUGGCUUAUUACUUCAUUUUCUACCUUCCUCACUAGGGUGUAGAGAUUCACAAGGACAGAUAGUAAAUGGCUUUAUUCAAAAUUAUAACAAUAAUAAUGAUAGAAGACUCAUAAGUGUUCUGUGUAUAUUAAUAGAUCUCUCCUCACAGCAAUUCUAAAAGUUAAAUUUUAUUCUUAUCAGUACUUUAUAGUUGAAGGAAAUAAGGUACAGAGAGGUUGAGAAACUUGUCCAAGGUCACAAAACUAGGAACAAUGGAGCCAAGAUUCAAAUUUUGGAAAUUUGGCUCCAAAAUCAGUGCUCUUAACUUCUGUUGUCAUGUCACACUGCCCCUCUAAACUGGGACCUAUCGUAAUCAUUGCCAGAAGGGGAGGUGUGUAAUAAUGUGCUACAGGAAUGGAUGAAGGAUUCAACCAUGUUAUCCUACUAUUUAAAAUGUAUCAAUAGUCCUCAUCUCUACUUGGGUAAUAUCAUAUUCUAGUCUAUAGCAUAGAAAGUACUGCAAGACUUGGCCUCAAUCUACCUCUUCAGUCUCAUCUCCCAUUUCUUCCCCUUAGAAUCUUACACAGUUCUCAGAGUAUUCCAUGUCAUACCAUCUUGUACUUGUGUACCCUGUGCCAUCAGCUGUGAAUGCUGUCCCUUCUCUUCCUAUAUAUUAGUGUUGUGAACUCCUACUUCAGUUUGCCUGUGAAGCAUUCACCAACCUGCAUAGGGAGCGAUGACUAUUCCUUUCUUUGAGCCUCCAUUGACCCUAGUCUUUAUCUGUCAUAAUAAUUUUCACAGUGUUCAGCAUUCAACAUUUUGCAUGUGUGUUUCACCCAUUGCAUUGUUUGCUUCUUCCAAAUAUUAAUGUUUCUACAUUUGCCGCUUUGCACAGCUAGUGGCACAGAAUCUCAAUAAAUGUUUGCUGAAUUGAACUAAAAUGGAAGCAAAAGAGGAUUCCAUGAAGGAGUUAGAAAUGAAGAAGGAAGUCUUUAGACAAAGAAUUACGGGCCUAACACAGAGAAUAUGCCCAAAAAUAUCAGUCAUGUUGGUUUGAAAUAGCCUAGUACAUUAUCCAAAAGGAAAGAAAUAAAACAUUUGGAUAAAAAAAAUUUUCGCUAAUAGUGUCAAUAGAUUCAUGGGCAGUACAAUAAAUGAGAAUUAGCUUCCUUUUUUGUUUGUUUAUUUGUUUGUUUGUUUGUUUUUGAGAAAAUAAAGAACUUUAUUGCAAGGUUGACCAGCAAGGAGACAGGAGGAAAAGCUCUCAAAUCUGUCUCCUCAAUCCAGAGUUGGGGUAAAAUUUAAGGAGUUGGGGAAUUUCAAACCCAGAGGCUGAUUGGCUAGUCUUGAAUCAGUCCAUAUAAGCUACUCGUGAUACUGGAAGCCAGAUUUUCCUUAUUGAAGGGCUUCUUGCUCAGCUUCAUGAAAAGGUCCAGUGGCAACAUCUGACAAAAUCUAACACCUCUUUACAAAAAAAAAUCCAACAAACUAGGAAUAGAAGGGAAGUUCCUCAACUUUAUAAAGAGCAUCUAUGAAAAACCCACAGCUAACAUCAUUCUUAUUGAUAAAAGACUGAAUAUUUUCCCCCCUAAGAUCAGAAAUAAGACAUCUCUGUUCUUGUUCUUCACUCAUCACUUCUAGUCACCUCUAGUCAACAUUGUAUUGGACAGGUUCUCUCCAGGGAAAUUAAGCAAGAAAAAGAAAAAAAAAAAAAAGGCAACCAGUUGGGAAAGGAAGAAGUAUAAGUAUUUUUACUUGCAAAUGACAUGGUCUUAUAUAUAGAAAAUCCUAAUAAAUCCACUAAACAUCUGUGAGAAUGAGUUAACAAGUUCAGCAAGGUUGGAGGAUACGAGGUCAAUGUACAAAAAUCAA